GAAGAAUGAGCUGGGACCCAUGUUCCGAGUCCUGCUGGAACCAGAGACCAAGUCUAUGCAAGUCAGAAUCAACCUCCAUCUGCCUCCAUCCUUUAUGAGACCUAAGACGUGAUGCAGCUCCCAUGGGAAAUAUCAGUUGUGUCUCUACCAAGGAUGCAGAAAAAGACAAGAUAUCGGCCAGGUUUCUGAAGGCCUGCACUAGGGUACCUGCCUCCUUUUCGGAUAGACUGUAUUCCCUUUCCAUGUUUUAGCUGUACCUGUGACACAGGACACGAGAGAACGUGCUCAUGUGAACACAAGUGAAGGACACCGUGGGGACUUGCCACACAGGUUCAUCUCCUAGCCAGAAUCAAGAAAGGAAGACACAGCAGCCACACUGUUCCCACA